rnacentral:piRNA from 1 species
UGAGGAUAGACAUUGGCUCACUUUUCCUGU